AACGAACGCUGGCGGCAGGCCUAACACAUGCAAGUCGAACGCUCGUAGCAAUACGGGAGUGGCAGACGGGUGAGUAACACGUGGGAACCUUCCCUAUGGUUCGGAAUAGCUCAGGGAAACUUGGGGUAAUACCGGAUAAGCCCUUCGGGGAAAGAUUUAUCGCCAUUGGAUGGGCCCGCGUCGGAUUAGCUAGUUGGUGAGGUAACGGCUCACCAAGGCAACGAUCCGUAGCUGGUCUGAGAGGANGAUCAUCCACACUGGGACUGAGACACGGCCCAGACUCCUACGGGAGGCAGCAGUGGGGAAUAUUGGACAAUGGGCGCAAGCCUGAUCCAGCCAUGCCGCGUGAGUGACGAAGGUCUUCGGAUUG
rnacentral:rRNA from 1 species